AUUCUAUCAAUUUUAUUGAUCUUUUCAAAGAAUGAGCUGUUUUAUUUAUCAUUUCUGCAAUUGUUUUAUAGUCAUUAUUUUAAAUUAAAAUAUCACUAAUUUCUUCUACUCUCUCUGGGUUUGUUCUCUUGUACUUUUAUAACUCUUCAAGAAGAUUGUUUAUUCCCUUUGUUUAUGGUCUAAUUGAAAAAUAAUGAUCAUUAAGAUUGUAUAUUUUUGAUUGAGUACAGCUUUAGCCAUGUCUUAUGGGUCUUGACAUAAAGUAUUAUCCUUUUCCUUUGUUUUCCACAUAGCUUGAACUUUUAUUUUUAAUUUCCUCUUUGACCAAGGGCUAUUGAGAACCAUGCUAUAUCAUCAGGCAGUUACCUUUUAUGAUCAUCUUUGAUUACUAUUUCUAAUUUUAUUUUGUUAAGAUAAAAGUAUAUGCCUAUACUUUCACUCCUUUUUAGAAUAUAUUAAUGUACUUUUAUGUUGUGAAGGUCAUGAUCAAUUUUUUAAAGUUUCAUAAAUAAGAAAAUGUUCAAUUAUCUCCUUAAAUAAAGCAAAUAUCUAUCUUUUGAGUUAAAAUUUUUAAUUAUUU
rnacentral:lncRNA from 1 species